rnacentral:rRNA from 1 species
AGAACGAACGCUGGCGGCAUGCCUAAUACAUGCAAGUCGAACGAGACCUUCGGGUUUAGUGGCGCACGGGUGCGUAACGCGUGGGAAUCUGCCCUUGGGUUCGGAAUAACAGUUGGAAACGACUGCUAAUACCGGAUGAUGACGUAAGUCCAAAGAUUUAUCGCCCAGGGAUGAGCCCGCGUAGGAUUAGCUAGUUGGUGAGGUAAAGGCUCACCAAGGCGACGAUCCUUAGCUGGUCUGAGAGGAUGAUCAGCCACACUGGGACUGAGACACGGCCCAGACUCCUACGGGAGGCAGCAGUGGGGAAUAUUGGACAAUGGGCGAAAGCCUGAUCCAGCAAUGCCGCGUGAGUGAUGAAGGCCUUAGGGUUGUAAAGCUCUUUUACCCGGGAAGAUAAUGACUGUACCGGAGAAUAAGCUCCGGCUAACUCCGUGCCAGCAGCCGC